rnacentral:lncRNA from 1 species
CAGAACCUUCUCUCCCUCAAUCCGCCCUAUAUAUACACCAUUUCUCAGCACCACAAAACCUCUCAUACCCUUUUCCAUUUCUUGUACCCUUAUGUUGUUUGUCUUCGAUUCUCAUUUAACAUGACCAAUAUACCAAAAUCUCUUAUAGACUCUUCUCUUACCCUCUUUACUCUCGCCAUUUCUGCCUCCGACCCUUGGCCUUUCUCUACUCUUAUUUCCUUGUAAC